CUCUCUCUUUCUCUACUCUAUACAACUCUACAUGCAACAACAGUGCGUUGAGAGAUUCCCUGAUUUCGAUCCGGUGUUUUCUGAAGGGGAAAGGAAUGUCUCUUCUUCCCCUUUACUAGGUGCUUGGCUGGCACACGGCGCCUGACGGUAUGGGAGACGGAAGACCUGAGCUCCUCGAAAUGAACGCGUAGCAGAGUUGUAAUUAGAGGUUUCCUGCUCGACGGAGUUCUGGGGAUCUCUAGGUGCUAGGAUGUUUAUGGGGAUUGAUCUUCUUUUCUCUUCGGAUUACUGUUCUCAUCAAGGUCUGACAAUCGUAAUGGAUAUAUUAAUUAAUGGAUUAACCAAGCUCUGAAUUAAAGCAAAAAACAAAAAAAAAAAGGAAA
rnacentral:lncRNA from 1 species